GGGGUUGACCGGAUUUGACAGCAGGUUGAGUUGGAGUGUAAGCAUGCCGGGCGUUGUGAACAUGGCCCGUAAAACCUAAUUCUCAAGCCACAUAAAUGGCAACGAUUACAAUUACGCUUUAGCUGCUUAAUACAAUUAUUAAGCACGAGCUGUUUCCCCGGAAACCUCUCUCAACGGUGUCCGGUGUGAAGCAUCGCAAAUGUUGAGAUAAGCUGCAUAGAUUCCCGAUGUGCGGACGAAAAUUUCAGGGAAUAAGGAAAUAGUUGGAUUGCUUUUUUCCGGCUGCUUCUCGAAAACCAAGUAAAAGCUAAGCAUGUAGAAAGCAUUUUGGCUGCUUGUUUGGACGAGGGUUCGACUCCCUCCAACUCCACAA
rnacentral:tmRNA from 1 species